CUACUGAAUUAUUUUUAUUUUAAUUGUAUAUAUCUAUUUUUGGUGUAUAUAUAUUAACAUUUGUUUCCGUUUUUAUAGAAUCAUACAUUUCUUUUUCAAUAUAUAACAUUGAGGUUAUGUUGAACCGUCCCAGGUUGAGUGCAUAAUAUUCAAGAGUUUUUUUUUUUUUUUUGAUAUAAGCGUGUGUAUACUCGUCGCAUUAAAGUAUUCAGCGUUUAAACUUCUAUUAAAUUCUCACAAAUAAUCCGUAUAGGUAACCUAUUACUUAUAUUUCUGUGUGUCUGUAGUAAUUAAAGUAAUCUGAAAUUACUUUCGCACUGUGGACCAUUUCUUAUUGAGGGACAAGUUUCGAUUAUGGACUUUGUAGUUCAUUAGUAUAUUUUAUCUUAUUUUCGUACUUCAUCUAACGAUGAAUGGUGCGAAAAACACUGUUUCCAAUCAUUUGGAAUGUACAUUUUUUCAAUAGUCAACUAGGAAUUAGAAUUUUAGGUAGAUAGUGGAUUUACCUGAUUGAUUCUUAAUUCUAAACCGUUAUUAGAUUACAGAGAACAAUUGCUCUCAUUAGUUUUAAAAUCGAUUUCUUUUAUUAAUAAAUUUAAUUACAUAUUAUUCAAUUUAAAUCGUCAGUUUAAACUAUUUCUACAGCUACAUUGCAAACAUAAUGUCUAUAUUAACUAACACAGUCUUCUUACAGAAAAAUUCAACUACUAGGUUAAUUUAAAAUUAUAAAAAUAAAAGUUAUUCUAUUAUACAUUGGCUUAAAUUUUUUUCUAUCCCAAUGGAAUUUCUUAAUUUUUUUUAGUACAUCAUAUAGAAGAAAAUUUUAAUUUUGCUCGAAACGUUUGAGUGGCAUUUGCAGUUAAUUUAUUUAGAACCAACAAUAACCUUAAUUAUUGAAUUUCUAUGAUCACUUUUUUUUAUUAAAUUUUGUUUAUAUUAGAAUCAAGAGUAGUUUAAAAAAUAUCCCUAACCAUCCAACAAAAUCUC